rnacentral:rRNA from 1 species
GCACAAGCAGUGGAGUAUGUGGUUUAAUUCGAAGCAACGCGAAGAACCUUACCAGGUCUUGACAUCCGAUGCAUAGCACAGAGAUGUGUGAAAUCCUUCGGGACAUCGAGACAGGUGGUGCAUGGUUGUCGUCAGCUCGUGUCGUGAGAUGUUGGGUUAAGUCCCGCAACGAGCGCAACCCUUAUUGCCAGUUACCACGUUAAGAGGACUCUGGCGAGACUGCCGUUGACAAAA